GCUUGCUACAUGUCACUGACCCAUGAUUAAUUCUAUUCUGGUUCUGAAGACAAUUGAUGAAUACUACGGAGAAGCUGCAUUUGAAACAGAUGUCAAAUCUACAGGUUGUGGGCUAGCUGCUCAAAUAGAGGACUCUGCUUAAGAUCCAUAGCUUCCACAUGACCUGGAAGCAAGCUUUGGGCAAUAGCCAAUGACAGUCAAAGAUGGGACAACAGUAACAGCUAGAGGAACUACCUACACUAUCUAGCAGGGAAAAAUUGAAAACCUUCUCCCUUCUUAACAGCUAGAUGAAGCCUUUUUAAUGACACCAGAAAACCUCCUCACCAGUAGGAAGUGUAUACUUCUGCAGAGAACAAAGACCUGAUGAGGCUGAAGAGUUAAGAAGUCAGCUCGGCAUCGAAUCUACACAAACUCUUCCAUCACGUGAACGUAAAGUUUUCAUGAAGUCUCUUGUUCGCGUUUCCUUUCAUGGCAUAAUGAAAUACUGCUUGAGGCAGAGACUUUUUGACCUAUGCUGGGGGUGCACAUUUGACUUAGGGGGUCAAGAAGCCCACGAAUGUAUUACUUGGUUAGAUGAAGACAUAAAUAAAAUAAUUCAGGAUCUUUGCCAGGAAAUAUGUCUUGAUAGCAUUUUCAAUGCUGUUAUAAUCAUAGGGUUUGCCAGGAACAGUCUCAGAAUUGCUGAGAAACACUUAAUUCAGGUUAGACAGCUUCUAAACACUGUGUAUUCUGCAGAAAAUCCUAAGGCUGCCCUUCAUGAUUUGAUCACUGAGGAAGAUGAAACACUCAUACCCCAUAUUGAACGCUUAAUUGGUGCUAGAGAUUAUAAAACCCUGUUUAAGAGAAGGGAUUAGCAAAACGAGUUUGGGGCGUACCUCUGUUGCUGUUCUGGGUGGGAGACUGGGGAAUGUGAGGCUGUAAAACACAACAACAGUUUUCUACAUCUAAUGUAUUUUAGCAUUUGCUUUAGUGUCUUGGAUAUCUAAUCACAUACAUAUAGGGUUUUUUUUGUAAAGAUAAAACAAUGAGACGUCAUUAGAAAUGAUAAAAAUCCUUCUUAGGAGAAGGGGUAGCAAAAUAAACUAGUAAAAUAUUGUAAAAGUUUUAAUGGAAAUAAAGACUGAAUUUAAAAACAUAUA